CCUAAUCCUAUUCCUACCAGCCCGGUAACAAUCCCAGGUCUUCGUCCUCAAACGCGCGAGGCGAGCGAUCGCGCGGCGAUGGAUCGGGUGGCCGCCGGCCGUGGCUGCAUCGCGCGGCACCCAGUGACCGCAUUGCGCGGCCGCCACUGUCCAGGGGCUCCGGGAUGCGCGCGACGGCUCUGAGCGCGACACCCCAAACUUUCUGCCAAGCACAUUGACCUUGUUCAUGCUUGCUGUGGGAGCUGUGGACAAAGAAAUGCCAGGAUGAAUCAGAAACCGUUAAUUGGAUAACAAUAAACACAAAGCCUUGUUUAAAGUGUCACAAGCCUGUUGAAAAGAAUGGUGGUUGUCUGGUUGCAAUCUUGUUGCCUGUAUCUGCGGGCAAGCAUUUAGGUAAGUGUAUUAUUGUACUUUGUGCUUAUGUGGGAGCUGUGGACAAAUAAAUGCCAGGAUGACUCAGAAACCGUUAAUUGGAUAACAAUAAACACAAAGCCUUGUCCAAAGUGUCACAAGCCUGUUGAAAAGAAUGGUGGUCGCAAUCUUGUUGCCUGUAUCUGCGGGCAAACAUUUUGGGUGUAUCGUAAGAUUAUCACAUUUAAGAUGAUCAAACUUAGAUGUUCAACUUCAUGGAUCCAAUGCAGAGCCUUGAUUAACUUCAAACUCAUGGUUGAUCAUCAAGCAUGGACCAGAAGACUGGUGUAAUGUAUUGUCAUUGUAAGCUUAUGUUUAUUCUCAAGUAGAUUGAUUAUAUUGAUGUUUUCAUAACAACAUAGAGAUUAAGUUAUAUAGACCUUGUCUUUUUUUGAAGUCUUAUAACAAUGAAUAAUAAUUUUUUACUGGCGCUUUAGGUCCUAGAUCAUAGGGUAGCUUAUGGAGCUUGAAAGGUAACCAAAGGAGGCACCCCCAUAUUAGAUUAAAAUGUUAGUGAAUUAGAGAAAUAUUUUUGUCAAUUGAAAGGUCAAUUUUGGGGAAUAACUUCAAGUAAUAGUUCGCUGGGUGACUUUAGAAAUCGAUUAAGGAUCUUUCCCUUUGAUUGGAAUCUUGUUGAAUACAACAUUUAUAUUUUUGAUUGGACAAGGUUGACGAUCAACUUAGAAAAGUCAUUUUUGACUUGUCUAUUUAGUACUGUUGUAGUAAAUCCAAGAGGAUGAACGAGUUUUUAAGGCUUUGAUUCAUCUCUUUAAAUUCCUAGGUAAGUUCUUCUCUUCCUAGUCUUUUUAUUGCAUCUCUUAAGGAGAGAGAUUGUGACUGUGUUGUCGAACCUCUUGUGCUUAUCUUUUUUUAUUCUCGUUAAGAGGAAUCAUUUCUCAGGUUCUAGGAAUUGGCUCAUUGUUAUUGUGUUUUGUAAAGAGCUCUCUAGCUUUGUGUGAUCUUUAUCUCAUGAAGUUUCAUUCAUAAGCGAAUAUCGUAUUGGUUUGAGUUAAUCUCCUUAGGUUGUGAGGUUUUAUUUGUUGUGGAGGACUCUAUUGACUCAUUUAAAAGUGUGGGUUAGUACUAAGCUCAGGUGUCUACGGAUUUCUACCUUUUAUUCAUUUGGAGAUGGUUGGUUCAGUCUCAUAGAUAGAAAUUUUUUACUGAUCAUCAGAUAAAUUUGAGGAGCAUAGUUCAAUCAUAGGGGACGGUCUAGCAUCACAAAUGAUUCAAAUAUCAUAGGCGUUUAUUUGCAUUAGGUGGGAAUCAAAUUUUCCUUGCUGGAGAAAUUCAUCCAUCUGUUUAUCAUCGCACCAAACCAGAGGGAACAAAAGUGUGGGUUAGUAGAACUUAGGGGCACACGUCCAAUAUAAGAUAGUGCAAUAAAAGUGGAAUCUCCGUACCACAUUAUAUUGCCAUGUUCACAUUAUGUCUAGUUCUUAUUUAAUUUUUAUUGUGUUUAUAUUACAACUUUGAUAUCUUAAUCACAGAGGUACGCACUGAAUCUGACAACUAUAUAUAUA